rnacentral:rRNA from 1 species
UACGAAGGGGGCUAGCGUUGUUCGGAAUUACUGGGCGUAAAGCGCACGUAGGCGGCUCGAUCAGUCAGGGGUGAAAUCCCAGGGCUCAACCCUGGAACUGCCUUUGAUACUGUCGAUCUGGAGUAUGGAAGAGGUGAGUGGAAUUCCGAGUGUAGAGGUGAAAUUCGUAGAUAUUAGGAAGAACACCAGUGGCGAAGGCGGCUCACUGGCCCGGUACUGACGCUGAGGCGCGAAAGCGUGGGGAGCAAACAGG